rnacentral:rRNA from 1 species
GAUGAACGCUGGCGGCGUGCCUAAUACAUGCAAGUCGAGCGAACGGACGAGAAGCUUGCUUCUCUGAUGUUAGCGGCGGACGGGUGAGUAACACGUGGAUAACCUACCUAUAAGACUGGGAUAACUUCGGGAAACCGGAGCUAAUACCGGAUAAUAUUUUGAACCGCAUGGUUCAAAAGUGAAAGACGGUCUUGCUGUCACUUAUAGAUGGAUCCGCGCUGCAUUAGCUAGUUGGUAAGGUAACGGCUUACCAAGGCAACGAUGCAUAGCCGACCUGAGAGGGUGAUCGGCCACACUGGAACUGAGACACGGUCCAGACUCCUACGGGAGGCAGCAGUAGGGAAUCUUCCGCAAUGGGCGAAAGCCUGACGGAGCAACGCCGCGUGAGUGAUGAAGGUCUUCGGAUCGUAAAACUCUGUUAUUAGGGAAGAACAUAUGUGUAAGUAACUGUGCACAUCUUGACGGUACCUAAUCAGAAAGCCACGGCUAACUACGUGCCAGCAGCCGCGGUAAUACGUAGGUGGCAAGCGUUAUCCGGAAUUAUUGGGCGUAAAGCGCGCGUAGGCGGUUUUUUAAGUCUGAUGUGAAAGCCCACGGCUCAACCGUGGAGGGUCAUUGGAAACUGGAAAACUUGAGUGCAGAAGAGGAAAGUGGAAUUCCAUGUGUAGCGGUGAAAUGCGCAGAGAUAUGGAGGAACACCAGUGGCGAAGGCGACUUUCUGGUCUGUAACUGACGCUGAUGUGCGAAAGCGUGGGGAUCAAACAGGAUUAGACACCCUGGUAGUCCACGCCGUAAACGAUGAGUGCUAAGUGUUAGGGGGUUUCCGCCCCUUAGUGCUGCAGCUAACGCAUUAAGCACUCCGCCUGGGGAGUACGACCGCAAGGUUGAAACUCAAAGGAAUUGACGGGGACCCGCACAAGCGGUGGAGCAUGUGGUUUAAUUCGAAGCAACGCGAAGAACCUUACCAAAUCUUGACAUCCUUUGACAACUCUAGAGAUAGAGCCUUCCCCUUCGGGGGACAAAGUGACAGGUGGUGCAUGGUUGUCGUCAGCUCGUGUCGUGAGAUGUUGGGUUAAGUCCCGCAACGAGCGCAACCCUUAAGCUUAGUUGCCAUCAUUAAGUUGGGCACUCUAAGUUGACUGCCGGUGACAAACCGGAGGGAGGUGGGGAUGACGUCAAAUCAUCAUGCCCCUUAUGAUUUGGGCUACACACGUGCUACAAUGGACAAUACAAAGGGCAGCGAAACCGCGAGGUCAAGCAAAUCCCAUAAAGUUGUUCUCAGUUCGGAUUGUAGUCUGCAACUCGACUACAUGAAGCUGGAAUCGCUAGUAAUCGUAGAUCAGCAUGCUACGGUGAAUACGUUCCCGGGUCU